rnacentral:rRNA from 1 species
GACGAACGCUGGCGGCGUGCUUAACACAUGCAAGUCGAACGAUGAAGCUGGAGCUUGCUCCGGUGGAUUAGUGGCGAACGGGUGAGUAACACGUGAGUAAUCUGCCCUUGACUCUGGGAUAACUGCGGGAAACUGUAGCUAAUACCUGAUACGACACCUUCGGGCAUCCGAUGGGUGUGGAAAGAAUUUCGGUCAAGGAUGAACUCGCGGCCUAUCAGCUAGUUGGUGAGGUAAUGGCUCACCAGGGCGACGACGGGUAGCCGGCCUGAGAGGGUGACCGGCCACACUGGGACUGAGACACGGCCCAGACUCCUACGGGAAGCAGCAGUGGGGAAUAUUGCACAAUGGGCGAAAGCCUGAUGCAGCAACGCCGCGUGAGGGAUGAAGGCCUUCGGGUUGUAAACCUCUUUUAGUUGGGAAGAAGCGAAAGUGACGGUACCAACGGAAAAAGCACCGGCUAACUACGUGCCAGCCGCCGCAGUAACAC